rnacentral:lncRNA from 8 species
CUGAAAUAAACGUCAGAUAAUGUCUUGAUGUUUUUUAUAGUAGUGUCGUGAUGUGACUUUUCAUUAAUGUGAAGACUGUUAUAUCAAAUCAAUUCUAUAUGUGUAAUUAUUAUUACGGGAUUGUCACGUCCUGACCAAUAUUUAGGUAUUAUUUCUAUUAUAUUUGGUCAGGACGUGGCAGAGGUAUAUUUGUUUUGUAUUAUGGGGUUUUGUGUGUGGUGUAGUGGGGUGUAUUAGUUUGGUAUAGGUUCUAGGUUUGUUUUUCUAUGUGUAGUUUUGGGUGCUGGACUCUCAAUUGGAGGCAGGUGUUUCUAGUUGCCUCUGAUUGGGAGUCCCAUAAGUAGGUGUGUGUUUGUUUGGUUUUGGUGGGUAGUUGUUUUUGCACUGCGUGUUGUGUGCCUGCAAAACUGUUCCUGUCGUGUAUAUGGUUUUCCAGUGGAUGCGUUACUCCUUUUUUGAAUUAAAACAUGAGCAUCCAUAUUCCCGCUGCAGUUUGGUCUAUUCAACACGGCUCUUUUUGUGACAGAACUACCCAUCACCAAAGGACCAAGCAGCGGAGAAGAGGACAGAGGCAAGUGAGGGAGGAAUGUUGGAGGCAGCCCCAAGAAUUUUUUAGGGGGGGGCACAAGGGCUAUUUGGCGGGGCGAGAUUACAGCCCCAGGCCAGCUCCCCGUACCCUUGUAGGGCAGACUGGACAGGUCCCGUGCUUUGGGGUUGGGGCUGUGGUGAGGCCUGGGAUUUUCAGGCCGGUAGGCAAGGUACCAGCGCCCCGCAUGUGCCAGGGCGAAGUAGGCAUCGAGCCGGAAGGGGUGAUGCCAACCCUGCGCUCAAGACCGCCAGUGCGCCCUUUCGGUCCGGUGUUUCCCGCCAGACGCACUAGCAUGGAGGUGCGUGUCUCCAGGCUGGCACGUCCUAUACCAGCCCCACGCAUCAGGAGUCUAGUGUGUCAACCCAGCCUCGCCAGUCAACAGUCACCAGAGCUGCCCGCCAGUCAACAGUCGUCAGAGCUGCCCGCCAGUCAACAGUCGUCAGAGCUGCCCGCCAGUCAACAGUCGUCAGAGCUGCCCGCCAGUCAACAGUCGUCAGAGCUGCCCGCCAGUCAACAGUCGUCAGAGCUGCCCGCCAGUCAACAGUCGUCAGAGCUGCCCGCCAGUCAACAGUCGCCAGAGAGGUCAGACUGCCCUGAACUGCCGGAGUGGCCAGACUGCCCUGAUCUGCCGGAGUGGCCAGACUGCCCUGAACUGCCGGAGUGGCCAGACUGCCCUGAACUGCCAGAGUGGCCAGACUGCCCUGAACUGCCAGAGUGGCCAGACUGCCCUGAACUGCCAGGGUGGCCAGACUGCCCUGAACUGCCAGGGUGGCCAGACUGCCCUGAACUGCCAGGGUGGCCAGACUGCCCUGAACUGCCAGGGUGGCCAGACUGCUCUGAACUGCCAGGGUGGCCAGACUGCCCUGAACUGCCAGGGUGGCCAGACUGCCCUGAACUGCCAGGGUGGCCAGACUGCCCUGAACUGCCAGGGUGGCCAGACUGCCCGGUUCUGCCAGAGGUGCCCGCCUGCCCUGAUCUGCCAGGGUGCCCGGCCUGUCAGGAUCAGCCCGAGUGGUCCUCCUGCCCUCCGGUCCAGCCCGAGUGGUCCUCCUGCCCUCCGGUCCAGCCCGAGUGGUCCUCCUGCCUUCCGGCCCAGCCCGAGUGGCCCGCAUGCCUUCCGGCCCAGCCCGAGUGGCCCGCAUGCCUUCCGGCCCAGCCCGAGUGGCCCGCAUGCCUUCCGGCCCAGCCCGAGUGGUCCGCCUGCCCUGAUCUGCCAGGGGNNNNNNNNNNNNNNNNNNNNGGUCCGCCUGCCCUGAUCUGCCAGGGUGCCCGGCCUGUCAGAAUCAGCCCGAGUGGCCCUCCUGCCCUCCGGCCCAGCCCGAGGGGCCCUCCUGCUCUCCGGCCCAGCCCGAGGGGCCCUCCUGCUCUCCGGCCCAGCCCGAGGGGCCCUCCUGCUCUCCGGCCCAGCCCGAGGGGCCCUCCUGUCCCCCGGCCCAGCCCGAGGGGCCCUCCUGUCCCCCGGCCCAGCCCGAGGGGCCCUCCUGUCCCCCGGCCCAGCCCGAGGGGCCCUCCUGUCCCCCGGCCCAGCCCGAGGGGCCCUCCUGUCCUCCGGCCCAGCCCGAGGGGUCCGUCUGCCUGGCGCAGCUAUCGGCUCCGCCGAAGUGGGCGACGCCGAGGGUGGAGCAGGGUCCACGUCCUGCACCGGAGCCACCUCCAGGAUAGGUGGGUUGGGGAGGGAGGGUGUAGCACAGUGCCGUCGUUGACGGCAGCCACCCUCCCUUCCCUCCCUUAUUGUUUAGGGGGUAUUGCUUUUUGGUUUUGUUGGGGUAAUGGGGAUUUUUUGUGUUUUCUUUUAAGGUGCAUUCCGGGGUCUGCACCUUUAGGGGGGGGUAAUGUCACGUCCUGACCAAUAUUUAGGUAUUAUUUCUAUUAUAUUUGGUCAGGACGUGGCAGAGGUAUAUUUGUUUUGUAUUAUGGGGUUUUGUGUGUGGUGUAGUGGGGUGUAUUAGUUUGGUAUAGGUUCUAGGUUUGUUUUUCUAUGUGUAGUUUUGGGUGCUGGACUCUCAAUUGGAGGCAGGUGUUUCUAGUUGCCUCUGAUUGGGAGUCCCAUAAGUAGGUGUGUGUUUGGUUUUGGUGGGUAGUUGUUUUUGCACUGCGUGUUGUGUGCCUGCAAAACUGUUCCUGUCGUGUAUAUGGUUUUCCAGUGGAUGCAUUACUCCUUUUUUUAAUUAAAACAUGAGCAUCCAUAUUCCGGCUGCAUUUUGGUCUAUUCAACACGGCUCUUUUUGUGACAGGGAUUAAACUAAUCA